rnacentral:lncRNA from 1 species
CUGUAUGUGUCAGUCCUUCCACCUCAUGAAAGUUUAAUUUUACAGGCAUUAGCUCCUUCACCAAGAAACUUUUUUUUCAAAAAGACUGUCCGGCUGCUGACAAACACCUUUUGUUCUGCAACGAGAUAGAAGUAAUACCUUUUAGUUUUUUUUGGGUACACUACGAACAAGCAUCUAUCAAACUUCGGUCCAAGCUUAUCUAUCUUUAAAUGCUUAACAUAAGCUGCACACCCCC